CCUACGGGGGGCAGCAGUGGGGAAUAUUGCGCAAUGGGCGAAAGCCUGACGCAGCGACGCCGCGUGAGGGAUGAAGGUCUUCGGAUCGUAAACCUCUGUCAGCAGGGAAGAACGGUCACUGUGCUAAUCAGCAGUGAAUUGACGGUACCUGCAAAGGAAGCACCGUCUAACUCCGGGCCAGCAGCCUCUGUAAUACGGAGGGUGCGAGCGUGAAUCGGAAGUUCUGGGCGUAAAGCGCUCGUAGGCGGUAUGUCAAGUCAAGGGUGAAAUCCGCGCGCUCAACGUGGGAACUGCCUUUGAAACUGGACAACUGGAGUGUGUGAGAGGAAAGUGGAAUUCCAGGUGUAGGGGUGAAAUGCGUAGAUAUCAGGAGGAACACCAGUGGCGAAGGCGACUAUCUGGCACAUAACUGACGCUGAGGAGCGAAAGCGUGGGUAGCAAACAGGAUUAGAUACCCUAGUAGUC
rnacentral:rRNA from 1 species